UACGGGGGGGGGCAAGCGUUGUUCGGAAUUACUGGGCGUAAAGGGCUCGUAGGCGGCCAACUAAGUCAGACGUGAAAUCCCCAGGCUCAACCUGGGAACUGCGUCUGAUACUGGAUGGCUUGAAUCCGGGGAGAGGGAUGCAGAAUUCCAGGUGUAGCGGUGAAAUGCGUAGAUAUCUGGAGGAAUACCGGUGGCGAAGGCGCAUCCUGGACCGGCAUUGACGCUGAGGAGCGAAAGCCAGGGGAGCAAACGGG
rnacentral:rRNA from 1 species